rnacentral:rRNA from 1 species
CAGGUCAGCAUACUGCCGUGAAUACGUUCCCGGGCCUUGUACACACCGCCCGUCACACCAUGAGAGUUGGAAAUACCCGAAGCCUGUGAGCUAACAGUAAUGAGGCAGCAGUCGAAGGUAGAGCCAAUGAUUGGGGUGAAGUCGUAACAAGGUAAC